rnacentral:rRNA from 1 species
UACAGAGGUGGCAAGCGUUGUUCGGAAUUACUGGGCGUAAAGGGCGCGUAGGCGGCCUUCUAAGUCAGACGUGAAAUCCCCCGGCUUAACCUGGGAACUGCGUCUGAUACUGGAGGGCUUGAGUGCGGUAGAGGGAAGUGGAAUUUCCGGUGUAGCGGUGAAAUGCGUAGAUAUCGGAAGGAACAUCAGUGGCGAAAGCGACUUCCUGGACCAGUACCGACGUUCAGGCACGAAAGCGUGGGGAGCAAACAGG